rnacentral:rRNA from 1 species
CAAUAGCGUAUAUUAAAGUUGUUGCAGUUAAAAAGCUCGUAGUUGGAUUUCUGGUAGGAGCGACCGUGCCGAACUUGAUUGUUCGAGUAUUGUGUUGUCUUCAGCCAUCCUCGUGGAGAACUUUUCUAACAUUAACUUGUUGGGAUUGGGACCCGCGUCGUUUACUGUGAAAAAAUUAGAGUGUUUAAAGCGGGCAUUAGCUUGAAUACAUUAGCAUGGAAUAAUAAGAUAGGACUUUGGUACUAUUUUGUUGGUUUGCAUACCAAAUUAAUGAUCAACAGGAACAGUUUGAGGAUAUUCGUAUGAACAUGUCAGAGGUGAAAUUCUUGGAUUUUGAUCAGACGAACUACUGCGAAAGCAUUUAUCAAGGAUGUUUUCAUUAA